CAUGCUUUUUUUUUGCUUUUUUUUUUUUUAGGUUCAGAGGUUUGAAGAGGGUUCAGAAGUAACUGCUGGGAAGAGGGCAAGUUCUGGUACUCUCUUCCAUUUAUCGGCAACCUAAUCGGAUGGGCUGCGCAGAGGUCAUGGAGUCUGGAAUUAAUUAAUCCAGGGACGACGGCUUCAGCGCCUGCCCGCAUACACACGGAAUCCGCCAC
rnacentral:lncRNA from 1 species